rnacentral:lncRNA from 1 species
AUGGACCAUACACUGGGUCUUCCAACCUCAAAGGUUCCUUGUCUCCUGCUGCCCAGGAAGGGCUCGAUCAAUGAUGAAAACAAUAGUGAUCACAAACGAGGACCACUGCCUGGAGAAACUUGCUCGCCAUGGACCACCAGCAGGGACAGGGGACUUGGACGUGAAUGCACGCGGUCUGACUCCAGAUGUCACAGCUGUAACCGCUUCACUGCACGCCAGCGUGACAGCGCUGUCGCUAUAGAUUUUCUCCAAGACAUGAAUCAUCUGCAGGUGACCUGCGGGGAGGUGCUGUUAUCCCUAGGCACAGACAGAAUCAGAAUGAGCUGGCUGCCGGUGUAUGCAGCCAGGUGGGGAACCCGGGAAAGCUUUAUUCUCAGACCCAGGCUGAAAGGCGGGCUGGUGUCUGCAAAGCCCAGUCAGUGAUAACGAUUGGAAACAGUUUGCACAGUAUUGAAAUUGAGUCGAAGGACCGGGGAGGAGUUUUCAGGGAGAGCAGGAAAAAUUUUUUUAAAGCAAUUGUUAGGCUGCUUUGGGCUUCUGCCAAGCCAGUUUGAUUCCUUGGAGGGUCUCUCAGCAUCUUCAGUGAACAUUCAUCAACUGGCCUGGGCUAGCUGGGGCAACAGCCUGGAACCUAGCGUCCUGGGAUAGUGUCUGUUCACAGACACUUGCCCCCUUCUGACUUCCCCUUGGCUGGUCGCAGAUGGGGCACCUGGGGGGUUCCCAGGAGAGCGAGCAGGGCAAGGGUGCCCGGAGGGCAGGGUGGGGCCAUCUGGACCCGCUGUCUGCGUCUGCUAAGAGCGGCUCGGAGUUUUUGUUGGAUCCUCAGAACAAUGUCUGUGGACAAUUAGGGGUGGGGGCCGGCGGGACAGAGCCCCUCUGGGAGGAUUCAGGCGCCAUCUGCAUGGGACUGAGGGCAGAUUUGCACCCAGGCGAGCAGGUCCAGCUCUGGGAAUAAGUCUAGAAGCCCAACCACUCUGUCCUCAGCUUCCCUUGGUGGGGACAGAUACAUUGUGCUCCAGCAAACACAGUAUAAGGCUUUUGCUUCUCCGGAAACAAGUACUGCAAUGCCCAGAUUUUAUAGAUAAGGAGAUAGAACCCCUAAAGGAGAAGUAAGACACCCAGGGUCAGGAGCUGAUGGGGACAGAGCAGAGUGCCCUCUGUUUACCUCAUCACCAUGAUGUGGACGUUGAGACUGUGUCUGCCUGCCUGCCUAUCACAUCAGCUCCCACACCAUUCACGUGUAC